rnacentral:snoRNA from 1 species
CAACUAUGUUGUGGGAAUAUUUGGACUAACAUCUUGAAAAGAUCCCAAGCUUUGUGAAAACUCUCUCCUUCUAGUUGCUUAAAUGUAGCGAUCUUUCUCCUUAGUUG